CCAGCAAAGAUAAACCUUAUGGCAGCUCAUAUAAUAAUAUAUUACAUAACUUGUUUAUGUAUAAAAGUGUACAGAAAUACACCGUCUCUCCAGAACAAAUCUGUUUUCUACUACUAAAAGUCUGUUAAUGCCGGUCAUUUAUGCACUCUCACCGCAUAUACGAGAGAUUCCUCACCUCAUUAUUAAUUCAUCGAGCUUUCACGAAACCAUUCUCUCUCUCCUGUAUACUGAAAAAAAAACUAUCCUCUGUCGCCACGGUCGUCCGUAUACAAAAAGGGAUACUAUAAGAGGAUUAUUCACAAACCGUAUGGACAAUAUGAGCAGAAAGGGUUUGCAUUUACACAACAAAUAGGAACUCUCACCGCCCGCACUAGAUUAUUUUGGAAAAUUUCAGUGUUGAAAAUUUGCAUCAUCGGUUAAAAAGGGGUUGCGAUCGUGACGUUGAAUGCGUUUAUAAAAUACACCGUGAGA